rnacentral:rRNA from 1 species
GAUGAACGCUGGCGGCGUGCCUAAUACAUGCAAGUCGAGCGAACGGACGAGAAGCUUGCUUCUCUGAUGUUAGCGGCGGACGGGUGAGUAACACGUGGAUAACCUACCUAUAAGACUGGGAUAACUUCGGGAAACCGUAGCUAAUACCGGAUAAUAUUUUGAACCGCAUGGUUCAAAAGUGAAAGACGGUCUUGCUGUCACUUAUAGAUGGAUCCGCGCUGCAUUAGCUAGUUGGUAAGGUAACGGCUUACCAAGGCAACGAUGCAUAGCCGACCUGAGAGAGUGAUCGUCCACACUAGAACUGAGACACGGUCCAGACUCCUACGGGAGGCAGCAGUAGGGAAUCUUCCGCAAUGGGCGAAAGCCUGACGGAGCAACGCCGCGUGAGUGAUGAAGGUCUUCGGAUCGUAAAACUCUGUUAUUAGGGAAGAACAUAUGUGUAAGUAACUGUGCACAUCUUGACGGUACCUAAUCAGAAAGCCACGGCUAACUACGUG